CCUACGGGGGGCUGCAGUGGGGAAUAUUGCACAAUGGGGGAAACCCUGAUGCAGCGACGCCGCGUGAGUGAAGAAGUAAUUCGUUAUGUAAAGCUCUUUCAGCAGGGAAGAAAAUGACGGUACUUGAGUAAGAAGCCCAGGCUACAGAGGUGCCAGCUGCGGCGGGAAUACGGAGGGGGCAGGCGUUAUCCGGAUUUACUGGGUGUAAAGGGGGUGUAGACGGCGGUGAAAGUCUGUAGUGAAAGGCAGGGGCUCAACCCCCGGACUGCUGUGGAAACUGUACGGCUGGAGUGCAGGAGAGGUAAGUGGAAUUCCUGGUGUAGCGGUGAAAUGCGUAGAUAUUAGGAGGAACACCAGUGGCGAAGGCGGCUUACUGGACUGUAACUGACGUUGAGGCUCGAAAGCGUGGGGAGCAAACAGGAUUAGAUACCCUAGUAGUC
rnacentral:rRNA from 1 species